GACGAACGCUGGCGGCGUGCCUAAUACAUGCAAGUAGAACGCACAGUUUAUACCGUAGCUUGCUACACCAUAGACUGUGAGUUGCGAACGGGUGAGUAACGCGUAGGUAACCUGCCUGGUAGCGGGGGAUAACUAUUGGAAACGAUAGCUAAUACCGCAUAAUAUUAAUUAUUGCAUGAUAAUUAAUUGAAAGGUGCAAUUGCACCACUACCAGAUGGACCUGCGUUGUAUUAGCUAGUAGGUGAGGUAACGGCUCACCUAGGCGACGAUACAUAGCCGACCUGAGAGGGUGAUCGGCCACACUGGGACUGAGACACGGCCCAGACUCCUACGGGAGGCAGCAGUAGGGAAUCUUCGGCAAUGGACGAAAGUCUGACCGAGCAACGCCGCGCGAGUGAAGAAGGGUUUCGGAUCGUAAAGCUCUGUUGUAAGAGAAGAACGGGUGUGAGAGUGGAAAGUUCACACUGUGACGGUAUCUUACCAGAAAGGGACGGCUAACUACGUG
rnacentral:rRNA from 1 species